rnacentral:lncRNA from 1 species
UUCUUUUCUAAGUGUAGGAUUGUAUGUUGAGUUGUUCCACCAAGUCAUUAUGUUGAAAAUAUUGUAAUCUGGACAGGCUGGUAAAGUACUCCCAUUGUAACUUAAUAUAUAUAAGAGGUUUAUGUAGAUACCGAGGUAGUAUGUUCUAAUGAAAUGAAGACACAAUAUAUUUUGUGUUUCAAGAAAAUAAUACAUUUCAAUUUUUGAGUGAAUUGUAUCAGAGGUCCCUAAACCAUUCUUGGGGUGUCAUAUAGGUCUUCGAACAAUGAAAAUCCAUGUCCAAUCCCUAAAAAUUCAAUUAGUGUGUCAUCAAGGUCCAAACUAACAUAUUGGAUGACUACCAAUUCUGAAAUGGUGCUGAAAAAAAUGGCCUUGCUAUUGAUUUAGGACCUUUGCGACGUAGGCUUCCUCGGUGAGUUGGUGUACCAAAGGUAGCAUGCCAAUGUUCAUCAGCAUUUUGUUCUCGCUAACCCUGCCCAUGUUGUUGGUAUUUCAAUUCAAGAAAAAUGAACAUUGGAAUAAUUAUGAGAUACCACGAAGAACAUUUGACUAAACAAUUACAUGGUGUAUAUAUAUCUAUAUCUAUUAAUAAAGG